rnacentral:rRNA from 2 species
AAAGAAACCAACAGGGAUUGCCUCAGUAACGGCGAGUGAAGCGGCAACAGCUCAAAUUUGAAAUCUGGCCUCCUUGCGGGGUCCGAGUUGUAAUUUGCAGAGGAUGCUUCGGGUGCGGCCGCGGCGUAAGUCCCCUGGAACGGGGCGUCACAGAGGGUGAGAAUCCCGUCUUGAGUCGCUGGACCCGCGCCCGUGUGAAGCUCCUUCGACGAGUCGAGUUGUUUGGGAAUGCAGCUCUAAAUGGGUGGUAAAUUUCAUCUAAAGCUAAAUACUGGCUGGAGACCGAUAGCGCACAAGUAGAGUGAUCGAAAGGUUAAAAGCACCUUGAAAAGGGAGUUAAAUAGCACGUGAAAUUGUUGAAAGGGAAGCGCUUGCGACCAGACUCGGCCGUGGAGGCUCAGCGGGCAUUCGUGCCCGUGCACUCCCCCGCGGCCGGGCCAGCAUCAGCUCUGGCAGCCGGUCAAAGGCCCCUGGAAUGUGUCGCCCUCCGGGGCGUCUUAUAGCCAGGGGUGCAAUGCGGCUCGCCGGGGCUGAGGAACGCGCUUCGGCUCGGAUGCUGGCGU